GACGAACGCUGGCGGCGUGCUUAACACAUGCAAGUCGAACGGAAAGGCCCUGCUUUUGUGGGGUGCUCGAGUGGCGAACGGGUGAGUAACACGUGAGUAACCUGCCCUUGACUUUGGGAUAACUUCAGGAAACUGGGGCUAAUACCGGAUAGGAGCUCCUGCUGCAUGGUGGGGGUUGGAAAGUUUCGGCGGUUGGGGAUGGACUCGCGGCUUAUCAGCUUGUUGGUGGGGUAGUGGCUUACCAAGGCUUUGACGGGUAGCCGGCCUGAGAGGGUGACCGGCCACAUUGGGACUGAGAUACGGCCCAGAAUCCUACGGGAGGCAGCAGUGGGGAAUAUUGCGCAAUGGGCGGAAGCCUGAUGCAGCAACGCCGCGUGCGGGAUGACGGCCUUCGGGUUGUAAACCGCUUUCGCCUGUGACGAAGCGUGAGUGACGGUAAUGGGUAAAGAAGCACCGGCUAACUACGUG
rnacentral:rRNA from 1 species